ACUUAAAUUGAAGAGUUUGAUCAUGGCUCAGAUUGAACGCUGGCGGCAGGCCUAACACAUGCAAGUCGAGCGGUAGCACAGAGAGCUUGCUCUCGGGUGACGAGCGGCGGACGGGUGAGUAAUGUCUGGGAAACUGCCUGAUGGAGGGGGAUAACUACUGGAAACGGUAGCUAAUACCGCAUAAUGUCGCAAGACCAAAGUGGGGGACCUUCGGGCCUCAUGCCAUCAGAUGUGCCCAGAUGGGAUUAGCUAGUAGGUGGGGUAACGGCUCACCUAGGCGACGAUCCCUAGCUGGUCUGAGAGGAUGACCAGCCACACUGGAACUGAGACACGGUCCAGACUCCUACGGGAGGCAGCAGUGGGGAAUAUUGCACAAUGGGCGCAAGCCUGAUGCAGCCAUGCCGCGUGUGUGAAGAAGGCCUUCGGGUUGUAAAGCACUUUCAGCGGGGAGGAAGGCGGUGAGGUUAAUAACCUCAUCGAUUGACGUUACCCGCAGAAGAAGCACCGGCUAACUCCGUGCCAGCAGCCGCGGUAAUACGGAGGGUGCAAGCGUUAAUCGGAAUUACUGGGCGUAAAGCGCAC
rnacentral:rRNA from 1 species